rnacentral:rRNA from 1 species
UCCUGCCCGUAGUCAUAUGCUUGUCUCAAAGAUUAAGCCAUGCAUGUCUGAGUACAGACCGAUCUAAGGUGAAACCGCGAAUGGCUCAUUAAAUCAGUCAUAAUUCCUUGGGUAGUGAAAAACUUUCCUCGGAUAACUGUGGAAAAUCCAGAGCUAAUACGUGCAACUGAGCUCCGACCUCGGCGCAAGCCGUGGGAAGAGCGCAUUUAUUAGAUUCAAAACUGACCGGCGUACUCCUUCGGGAUACGCCGUUUGUCAAAAGUUUGAUGACUCCGGAUAACUAAGCCGAGCGCUACGGUCUUCAGUACCGGCGCCGUAUCUUUCAAGUGUCUGCCUUAUCAGCUUUCGAUUGUAGGUUAAACGCCUACAAUGGCUGUAACGGGUAACGGGGAAUCAGGGUUCGAUUCCGGAGAGGGAGCCUGAGAAACGGCUACCACAUCUAAGGAAGGCAGCAGGCACGCAAAUUACCCACUCCUAGCCCAGGGAGGUAGUGACGAAAAAUAACGAUGCGAGACUCUUCCGAGGCCUCGCAAUCGGAAUGAGUCUAUUAUAAAUGUAUGGACGAGGAUCCAUUGGAGGGCAAGUCU